CCCGCCGCGUUAGCGCGGGAAAUCCGGGAGAGUGGCGCGACGCAGCGCAGCGGCAUCAGUUUUUAAUACCGCCGCUGCUGGCGCUGCUGCCUCCCGUCUCGGGGAGACACCGAGCCCACCAGGGGGGGUUUCGUGUUCCCCUCGGCUUGCCUCUGCCCUCGCCUCGCGCCCUUCCCGGGGGUGGGGUGGGGGCGGAGGCGGUGGCGCUGUCCGAUCGGAUACUGCCGCCGCGCCCCCUCGCUCUCGCGGGCGUUCGUGUUCGAGAUCUGAACGGGUCGCCGUCGCCGUCGCCCGGCGAGCACGCCGGCUGGCCGGACGCGAUCGGCGAACAACCAAGGUAUGCUUGUCGUCCCACGCUUGCUCUCCCCUAGUCCUGUGCGAUGGUUGGGGCGAUUGAGAGAGGAGGGUCUUGGGGAGGGGGGGGGGGGCACGCGGUGUCGUGGUUUGGAGCUCUGUUGCUGGCGAUGGGAAUGCGCAAAUGAUUUGCUCGUGCAGUUUAGCUUGGUGGCCGCUGUUCAUCCGGAAAGUUUUGUUCUGCAUUUUAUCUGCUUGUGCCAUCCUCUUAUGAGUAGGCUGUUCUGUUGGAUGGUCCAAUUUGGAAGUCACAGAGACUGCUGCUUUGUUAGCCGAUAAAAGAAUGUUGUUCUCUAACAAUCUUUUUGCGACGAUUGGAGAUGAUUUUGUAGGUAGUUGGGCGAAGAUAACCGUAUUUGUAGUGAUCAUCCACAUAUGUUUGCUUGAUAUUGGAACCUCACGGAAGAGAUAAACUCUCUAUUUACCAUUACCUAAUGUUGUUGGGUAUACCUGGCUGUGGAGUAUUAUUACUUGAUUGGUGAACUACAAUGCACUUGGAAUCAUUCAUUAAUAAAUGUGGCAAAGAUUAUCUGGUAGAAGAAAAUGGUAAAGUGACCUGGUUAGUCUUGUUGGAUCUUAGCACUGAAAACUGUUAAAAAAAAUAGUGCCUUCUACAGCUUAAUUUGUCAUAGACAAAUUCAGGGUUUUGUAAGAUGACUAUUAUAGGGCUGUAGGUUCUCUGUUAGAUGGAGCAAUUAAAUAGCCUGGACACAAGGUAAGAAGGGGCCAAAAUUUUCCUGUAGUGAUCUUUCUCUGUUUUAUGAUCGGCAUUUAAGCUUGUAAAUCUGAAUACCUGGGAUGAAGCAAUAGCAUAUAAGAGAUGAUGUUAACCAGAUUUCCAAUGAUUUGAAUGUAAAUAAUAGUACCCAAUUGACAUGUCAUUAUGUCAACAUCCGUCCAGUGGCAAAGUUAAUUUAAGGAUAAUUUGAUGAUAGCGUACCAUUAACAACUGUAUUGGCAGCCAACUGAUUAUGACAAGUAUGCAUGAUAGCCCCUAUUUCAUUGGUUACUGUCAAGAGCUUUACUUUCGUUCUUCCUUUUGUGUCGCGAGGUACUAGUACCGUGAGGUACUAAUAUCCCCAUUCGUGCUAUCCACUCACGACCAAGCUGGUAUCUCGAGGUACCAUACAAUCGUGAUCGUUUGAUUUAGCAUCACCAAUAGUCAGGAUUUUAGUAUCAAUUUGAUUAUGAGGUGGGUAUCACGAGUGAGGAUUUUAGUACCUCACGGUACUAGUACCUUGCGGUACAAAAGGAAGGACUGGAGCAAACCUCUACCGUCAAACCUCUGAAAGUCUGAAGUAUAUCCCUGCUAAAAGAACCCUCAGAAGUAUACCAUGGUAUGCUUACAAGUUAAAUGAGAAAAUUGUUAAUGUGAAUUUGCAAGAGUUGCAUAAAAGCUUUGAUGUAGUGUUCUGUUCUCUACCCAUGUAGUCAUCCCAUUCAGCUUAUUAGUUGUUCUUUUUGUAUCUGUGUUCCUUUUUUAGGGGGUGUGAGGGAUGGUUGUUUGUGUUAUGUGGAAGAAAUCUCUUUAUGCCUAAAUGCUGUACUUGCACCAGAUAACCAGACAGUCCAUUAGUCCAAUACAAUAUGUUGCCUUUGUUUAUCAGCAUGAGGUCUCCAAACCUCAGCAGAUGUCUUCUUUUAUCCUUGCAUGUGAACCAUGCUCCCUUAUUUACCCAUGCCAAUCAUGGAGCUGAGUAUUUGUUAUCUGCAUAAGCUGAACUAUGUUAUCCGGUAAUGCUUUUGUACUAAAAACUACUGUAUCCUUUUAACAAAUAGUACCUCUGGACUGUAUAAGGCAUUGGUUGUUACCAUGCAGGACAAAUUAAUGGAGAAUGGAAGCAAGGCUGCCGAUGUUGGGCAAAGACAAACUCAACAUCAUGGAAGAAUGUCUCCCCAUCUCAAAUCCCCGACCAUUUGUACAUACUGCUCUCCGAGAUCCUCUCGGCCUCUCGGGUUUGGCCAGCAUAACGUGAAGCCCAAGCCCCAGAGCAACGGCCCCUUGUAAGAGGUGGCCAUUCGUCUGCACGUGCCCAACAACAACUCCUGCAACCGUUUCUCCACUCUGACACCGAUGAACUCAUCGGGAUUACUGCUUCUCCAAUUAACCUGGUGGAUGAAGCUACGCUGAAAUCUCAACUAGUAGUACUACUACUACAUAACAUAGCCGUCACUAAUCUCUUCUCACUCUCUGUGCUUUCUUUCUGACAAUCUUGAUGUGUUUACCUCCAUGGUUCGGUAUGCUGCCCGCCAUCUUUUGGUUGUUCUGGUGCCUUGUGAACCAAUAAUGGUUGAACCGAAAGCUUUAUGCGAUCAUACUAUCCUUUUAUAUGCUAGAUUCCAGAAGGCUGUCCUUUCAAUUGGGUUUGUCUGAACUUCUAUUUUGUCAUAUGCAAAUGUGAGGUCCUUGUGACAAUGCAGGCGAAAAUUGGUUGUUGCUGGGCGCAAGGCGAGGCAACGCACUGACACACACGUCGUCGUCCUCCUUAUCUUCAUUUCUUUUUGCUGGAUUCUAUAUAAUCUGUACUCAGAAGAACAGAGCUUGUGCACCCUAUCUUUUUUAUUAUGC
rnacentral:lncRNA from 1 species